rnacentral:rRNA from 1 species
UGGCUCAGGAUGAACGCUAGCUACAGGCUUAACACAUGCAAGUCGAGGGGAAACGACAUCGAAAGCUUGCUUUUGAUGGGCGUCGACCGGCGCACGGGUGAGUAACGCGUAUCCAACCUGCCCACCACUUGGGGAUAACCUUGCGAAAGUAAGACUAAUACCCAAUGACGUCUCUAGAAGACAUCUGAAAGAGAUUAAAGAUUUAUCGGUGAUGGAUGGGGAUGCGUCUGAUUAGCUUGUUGGCGGGGUAACGGCCCACCAAGGCGACGAUCAGUAGGGGUUCUGAGAGGAAGGUCCCCCACAUUGGAACUGAGACACGGUCCAAACUCCUACGGGAGGCAGCAGUGAGGAAUAUUGGUCAAUGGGCGAGAGCCUGAACCAGCCAAGUAGCGUGCAGGAUGACGGCCCUAUGGGUUGUAAACUGCUUUUAUAAGGGAAUAAAGUGAGUCUCGUGAGACUUUUUGCAUGUACCUUAUGAAUAAGGACCGGCUAAUUCCGUGCCAGCAGCCGCGGUAAUACGGAAGGUCCGGGCGUUAUCCGGAUUUAUUGGGUUUAAAGGGAGCGUAGGCCGGAGAUUAAGCGUGUUGUGAAAUGUAGAUGCUCAACAUCUGAACUGCAGCGCGAACUGGUUUCCUUGAGUACGCACAAAGUGGGCGGAAUUCGUGGUGUAGCGGUGAAAUGCUUAGAUAUCACGAAGAACUCCGAUUGCGAAGGCAGCUCACUGGAGCGCAACUGACGCUGAAGCUCGAAAGUGCGGGUAUCGAACAGGAUUAGAUACCCUGGUAGUCCGCACGGUAAACGAUGGAUGCCCGCUGUUGGUCUGAAUAGGUCAGCGGCCAAGCGAAAGCAUUAAGCAUCCCACCUGGGGAGUACGCCGGC